AUGUCUCAGUACAAGCCACAUUAAGGUGAAACCGCGAAAGGCUCAUUNNNUCAGUUAUGGUUCCUUAGAUCGUACCCACAUUUACUUGGAUAACUGUGGUAAUUCUAGAGCUAAUACAUGCAAACAGAGCUCCGACCGGAGACGGAAGGAGCGCUUUUAUUAGAUCAAAACCAAUCGGUGGCGGGCUUGCUCGUCAUCGUAUAACUUGGUGACUCUGAAUAACUUUAAGCUGAUCGCACGGUCUCGCACCGGCGACGCAUCUUUCAAAUGUCUGCCUUAUCAACUGUCGAUGGUAGGUUCUGCGCCUACCAUGGUCGUAACGGGUAACGGGGAAUCAGGGUUCGAUUCCGGAGAGGGAGCCUGAGAAACGGCUACCACAUCCAAGGAAGGCAGCAGGCGCGCAAAUUACCCACUCCCGGCACGGGGAGGUAGUGACGAAAAAUAACGAUACGGGACUCAUCCGAGGCCCCGUAAUCGGAAUGAGUACACUCUAAACCCUUUAACGAGGAUCAAUUGGAGGGCAAGUCUGGUGCCAGCAGCCGCGGUAAUUCCAGCUCCAAUAGCGUAUAUUAAAGUUGUUGCGGUUAAAAAGCUCGUAGUCGAAUUUGUGUCCCGCGCCGCCGGUUCAUCGUCCGCGGUGUCAACUGGCGUGUCGCGGGACGUCCUGCCGGUGGGCUUAGCUCUCCGGAGCGAAGCCCAACUCAAUCCCGCCGCGGUGCUCUUUACUGAGUGUCGAGGUGGGCCGGCACGUUUACUUUGAACAAAUUAGAGUGCUUAAAGCAGGCUAAAAUUUCGCCUGAAUACUGUGUGCAUGGAAUAAUGGAAUAGGACCUCGGUUCUAUUUUGUUGGUUUUCGGAACCCCGAGGUAAUGAUUAAUAGGAACGGAUGGGGGCAUUCGUAUUGCGA
rnacentral:rRNA from 1 species